GCCUACGGGACGCAGCAGUGGGGAAUAUUGCACAAUGGGCGAAAGCCUGAUGCAGCAACGCCGCGUGAAGGAAGACGGUUUUCGGAUUGUAAACUUCUGUUCUUAGUGAAGAAUAGUGACGGUAACUAAGGAGCAAGCCACGGCUAACUACGUGCCAGCAGCCGCGGUAAUACGUAGGUGGCAAGCGUUGUCCGGAAUUACUGGGUGUAAAGGGAGCGUAGGCGGGAAGCCAAGUCAGCUGUGAAAACUACGGGCUUAACCUGUAGACUGCCGUUGAAACUGGCCUUCUUGAUUGAAGUAGAGGU
rnacentral:rRNA from 1 species